rnacentral:lncRNA from 1 species
CCUGUCAAGUAGGAGGGUAGUGCCGCCGUAGAAGACACUUUUGAGUGUGGCUUGAUAGAGGUACCAGUUGCGGUCCGCAGCAGGCCCACGGCGACGUUCACUGGGCUGAUGCUUCACCCGAACCAUUCGUACAGGUGCAAAGAUUGGAAUAAAGCUGCAACCAGAGACUAGUCAGAAUGGAGGAAGGGAUCGGGAAAUGAGAGCAUUUGGAAUCAAAUCGUGACUUGUAGGCACGAACCUGGGCGUUGGGAGGGGUAGACGGCGGAGACGAAGGGCAUGAGGGCAGCGCGUCCGAGAACUUGGCAACGAAGAUGUGGGCCUGGGCCUUGGUGGAUUCGACCAUUGAAGGCACGGCCGCAGCACGCGGGAUUCAUUGCAGCCUCUGCGGACGAUUCUGCACGUGUUGCGACUCAUCUCCUCCGACGAUCUCUCGGCCACCGCUGCUCCGAUCCUCCUCCUCAAAGGUUAAAAAUUUAUCCUCUCUCUACAAUUUAGUUCAGUUUUCCUCUCCUUAUUGAAGUCAUAGAAGAAAUUUAGGUUUUCUUUUUCUCUUUUUUGUUUCGGAGACUUGAGCGACAAGAAAUCAAUGAAAGGUGAGUCCCGAGAGGAGCAAAGGAAAGGGCGAAGAGGCGGUGCGAUCACCAUAGAGUUAAACUAAGGGUCGCCGGGGAGGUUGGGUGAUUGUCUGUGUGGGCGUGUGCGGUCACACUCCACCACAGAGUUAAGCUAAGGAUCGCGGAUAGAGAGAGCGAGUUAUUUGGAGGUGUGGUCUUGAGGCUCUUCUUGAUCUAAAUCUAUCAACUGAUCGUUCAUGAACAGUUCCUAGGGGAAGCACACCCACCAUUUUGUAUUUAAACGGGAAGCUUCAUCAUUUAGAGUUGAGAUUGACCAAUUCCAGAUGAUGGAUAUCAUGAAAGAUCAGUUUCUGUGAAAGAUUGCUUAACCCACAUUUUUUGAACUAUUCAUAAUGGAUUGAAGGCAGGAUAUGGAUCACCAAACUAAAUCCUGAUUAUAUAGUUGUGGGAGUAAAUUGCUGGACAAUUCCCUGUCAGGGAAUUGGCUUGUUGAGGAUCAGUUCGAGUAAUUCAACCUGAUGAACUUAGACACUCCUUCCCUCACCAUUAGACAAAGGAUCAAUAUCUCUUUCAAAUAAAGUUUUUAGAAAGACUAUUCACACUGUUCUCUCUGCUAUAUUUCUCAUGAAGAUAUGAUAUGCAGAAGAAGAAACUGAUUCUGGCUCUUGAAUUCAAAAUGCUCGGCAAUUUUAGCCUCGAUGUUCUCUUUCAAUCUAAUUUUAACAUAUCCACAAGGAAAAAGAUACAUGUAAAAGGAACAAAGUACAAACUUCUACAACCAUCAACUUAAUCGCAUCAGAGUUGAUCAAACUCGAUUCUGUACUCUGAUGAGAGCCCUUUCCCUAGCUUUGAUCUGUGUGAAAUUCUGUACAAUGAUGCCUUCCUUUAAGGUUCUUUUUUUCUUUUUUACAGACAUGAGCCUGCAAAUUGGAAAUUUCCUUCUCUUCACCCUCCUUGCUCAUCUUUUCCGAUGGACAAAUUACCAUUUUCCUUGUCACCUGAUUGUCUUCAUAUAGAAUGACUGAGAAGUGAUCUUCUUGCAUUAGUACUGUGAUGAUGAACUAUCAUCAUCAUCAUCUGACUGCACAACUCGUCGCUGUUCAUACCUUUGGAGAACUGGUAGAGAUGCAUUGACAGAUAUGCGAAAGGAUCUAGCUGAACCCAUCGAUGUCCUCUCCUGCAAUCUGCCCACUUCCUUGCAUACAUUAUCUAGUACAGAUAGGAAGUCCCUCACCACCAUGAAGAUCCUAAGAGGGUGAGCUUCCUCCUUUGCUGCAUCUCCAUGAAAGUACUCUGUAGUUUCCUUUACUAUAUUCAUCACCCUCUUCUCCUCAGCCUUGACAUGAUCAAUCUUCCUUUCAGCCUCUUCAAGAAACACCUUCAUCGUGUCAAAAAAUUUCAUACCUUGCGUGCAUGACUUCUCUAGCUGUAAAACUGAUUUUAUCUUCUGAAGCCCAACGUCUAGCCUCAAGACAUAACUGCUAAGAACAUCUGAGUCCAUUCCUGCUGCCUUUCUGAUGUUCCCAAGCUCAUUACUCAGCCCAGCCACCACUUUUAAACCUUGUUUCUUAAAUUGUUCUUCCCUGCUACUGUUAGUAGGAUUGUGUACUGUCAAUGGUUCAGUACCUGUUCCUUCUGAACGGAUAAUCUCUUGCACGACGAAGUGGAGUAGGGUUGUUUUUCCAUCAGUUCCCUUUACAUCUGUCAGUUUUAGAAGAGUGUCGAGCUUGAAGGCUUUCGCUUGACCUAGGUUGGUGCCCACAUUCAUCCUGUUUCCAGUCCUCAGAACAGCUUCCAGGAGCUUAAGGAAUAGUCUACUGCUUGUUAAAUCUUCACAUGCUGCCUGUAGAACAUUUGAAGGAGGCAAUGACCAUUAGGUAUGCUUAUGAAAGUAGAAUAAUAUUUUUUUCAAUUUACCAAAGUAUGUUCAGUAAAUCUAAUGUCAGGUAUGGUUGUUCAAAUGCGCCGAAUUAUUGAAAAUAGAGUUUAGAAGAAACAAGAAACAUCAUAAUUUGGAAUCAGGCAUUCGCCAUUCUUUGAUGGUCAAUGUUAUAAGUCAAAGGAUAAGUAUGGAAUUAGUGAUGCAUGUUUGACUAUUAAAAAAUAGGAAAAAUUAUAAUUAUUUAGCACAGAAAGAGUUUUUCAAGAUAAUAUAUUAUAAUAGAAUAUUUUCAAGGUUUGUUUCAUGUAGCACUAAUUUGAAGACAUUUGCCUGUAUUUCAAGAUGAAGCAUCAAUACAAUAAAUUUACCUCUAGAGUUCCAAAAGAUUUGAUUAGAUAUUUGACUUCUGUCUCAAAAUUAGCUCUGUAAAGCAUUGCAUCAACUCUUUUAAAGGCAAAUGGUACGUCUAGCACUGCUUUCAGAAAGCGCUCAGCUGAACCUAGCUUUGAUAUGUCACCCAUGUAAUCAUGCAGUCUUAGUUCUUCCUCCUUGGUGGGAGCCAUCUUGAUUAAAGUUUCCAAAAGCUCAGCUCCUAAGCAUUCAGGAUUACCUGUUGCAGACAACUUUGGUCAUCCAACAAUAUUUAAGUCAACAAUAAUACAUAGGAUUUAUCACAUUGGUACUCAUCAUCAACUAUGUUUUUUCCCAUCAAAGUUGGUAGAUGCAGCAUUUCUAAGUUAUAAGGCUCCAUGAUUUUCAGAAACAUUUGAUCAUCCGUUUAUCUAAUGUCAAAACUUAAAGUGGCUUCUGUGAUAUUUCAACAAGCAAACCUAUACAGGCAACAGCUGAUGAAAACAAGGAUACAUGACCAUUGAUCUGAUGAUAACACUCGAAGUAUCUUUUAUGUGAUAUCUAAACAAGUUAACAUAUACAUGACACAAUUUAUGGAACCUGGGGAUGUGGUGUACUGUAUGAUGUUGAUCACAGUUUCACAUAUAUCUCCUUGUAUUCUUAAGAUGAUGACAUAAUUCUUCUAGAUCUUCGUAGUUUUUUUAUUCCAUUUCUAAAUUUUAAAACCACAACAUAGUUCAUCAUCAUCUGGACAGAUACAUGAAACUGUUCUGCAUAAGUUUAUUUGUAUUAUCAAAGUAGUUAACUAUUACUUAGUUAUGGUGGUCUUCAUUGUUUAAAGAUGUAAUGAGUUAAUUCAAAGCGGCUUCAAUUAACUGCUUUAAUGUUUGUGGUGGACAAUGGCCAACCACGUAGACAGUAGUACUUCGUCGGUUGGGCUCUCCUUAGAUAUGAUUUCGUUCGAGUUUUUUAAAGCAGUAACUACUUAGAUAUGUUUAAACUUAGAUCUGGUCUGAUUGUCACUUAACAAAGCUACCGGUGCUUAUGUCUAAAUUAACAUCAAAGAUUAAAUUGCACAGCAUUCCCUCAUUUUAGAUGCUGUUGAUUCCACAACCUUGCCAAGGAUGUUAACAUUUAUCGGGAACUAACUUCUAACCAUAUCAUCUCAACUACUAAACAUGAGAAGAAAGGUGGUCGAUGCAUUGGAACCACAGAAAUGGUCACCAACUCGAUAAUUCUUGUUAAAUGUCAUCCACAGAGAUGAUCCUUGAAUGAAAUAUUGUGAUAUUCCCAACAUUAGACUUGGAAAAGGACGAGAUUGUUCUAUACAUGCUUGUGGACCUAUUUGCAACACUGAGGUUGUCACCUUUCUUUUGUCGUAGGCUCUUACUAAGUUUAGAAUAAUUUCAGAGGGUUAUCAUGUAGUUGUUCAAGCUAUAUUACAAUUGAUGAAUUAGGUCAAAGCUCUUCUAGCCUAUAUUUAGAGCACAACUUGAGCACUGAUACUGAAUUGAUUGUUAAAUACUUUGAGAUUUUUUUCACACAACCUUUAAUAUUUUGAAUUGCAGUCAUAGUUGCCUGAACUGAUGGGGGAAAUCUUGCAUGAUGAUCAGGAUUCCACAAAAGGGUGAUCGAUCAGCUAAUCAUGUUCCCUUCAACAUAUCUGAACAGAAUAAACAGUAAGUCGUAGAUCAAAAAUCUCUCCUGGAAUUAAAUUUAUGUUGAAUUUCUUUUAUAAACAAGCAAAGAUUGUUUGGUCACUGCCCUAAUACUCCGUUCCUCUUUUCUUUGCUGUCUAAUUUUCUCUCUUGAAUAUUUUACUUUGUCUUUCAUUCUUCCUAUUUUCUGAUCUUUGCAGAUUUCAAUUAGUCCAAUGCUAAGAAGCCUUCAGCCACAUGUGGUCAACUCAGUUCCUUCAUUUAACCACAAGGUAAAUGAACAUAGUUAACAGCCUAUUAGCUUCACGGACAAUAGUUAAAUGAACUUAGUUAACAGAGUAAAUCAUAUGAACUUUCCAUUGUUUUGAUCAUAGAAUAGAGGAACCUGCUAUAAAUUUGGUAGAUUUCCUUGAGCAACAAGUUGAUUUUGGUUGCAUUACAGUAGGCCCAGGUUCCAUAUGACUGAGGAUUACGAUGGAAGUCAUAGAGUAAUUAUCAUCUAAACUGGGUGCAGAAUAUAGAACCCUUACCAUCUAAUAAAGCGUCGUGGACCUCCUCUCUUGUCACGUUCAAUGCCCUCAAGAGUAUUGCUAUGUUCUGCGACUUCUUGGGAUCCAGCACUCUCUUCUCCUCAUCUAAUGGCAGGACACGCUGUCGUCUGCUUGUUGCUUUGGGAAGAGAACUUGAGGUGAUGUUGACAAAUAGAGUCUCGAUUAUGUCCUCGUUCAUCCUGCCAAGUGAAGACGAAGAGAUUAAUGCUCGGUCAUGGUAUUGAAAGACUUGAAACAUACAGGGAGUGGGAAGAAAUCUUUAGGUGAAAUCUCACUGAAAUGAGCUUGAUUUCAUCUGGUCCCAGACCAUUGCUCGAUUGGAAUUCGCACUAACUUUGUCCCAGUGAAGAGGCUUCAACUUGGGCUUCGAGUCACCCUCCAAUUCCUCCACCAUCUCGUGUACUUGAUGCGAAGAACUGGCGGCAAUGCCAACGCCGCGCUUCGUCGGAGGAAGUGGUAUGUUGAUUCGUGUUGCUUCAGGAGGAAGUGGAUUUAGCAACCUACGCCUUGAAGAUGCCGCAACUGGAGUCGCCGGAGCUUUAAUUGGCUGUUCAAUGCUUCCCAUGGUUUCAGUAGAUGGUGGUGGCUGCGGCGGCGAUGGAGGUGGAGGUUGUUGGUCCAUUGGGAGGAUCAUCUGUUUGACCGCAAAGCGGGGUGCAGUGUCUGCCGCGGCCACGGCCAACAAUUGCUGCUCUCCGCUGUUAAUACUUGGGGGGCUCCUACGGGAGGCCGGGCUACUCGGGCUCUCGCUGGUGGCGGACACCACCGACCGCUGCGGAGUGUAAAAGGUGUCCUCAUCGGAUAACGUCAUUGGCGGAGGGACCAUUCCCCUCAGCGAAGCUGUGGAACUCAGCGGCGGCAACGGCUGGAGCUCGGGGCUCGGGUGAUGCAUUUCCAGCACCCGCUCCGUCGCGAUGUUUCCGUAAGAGGAUCCGUUCUGCCGCCCGCCAGAUACCGCCGACGUAUCCAUGAUGCCAAGGUAGAGGAAAUCCGGCGCCGCGGAAGCGGGCUUUCGGUCCACCCACCGGUCGCCGCUGCCGUCGGGGCCGACAAGCUUUCCGGCUUCGGGCGAGCUCCGAAACUUUAGCCGGUACAACAGGAACCCCAACAAGAACAGGACCACGAGGGCGGGGACGGAAGCGGAGAAGGCGAUGACGAAGACCUUAUUGGACGCGGAGGAGGAGGCCGCAACGGCGGGCGUCGAGGGGACACCGGGGAAGAAGCUGCUUGACUCGUCCGGAGGUGGGUCAACGAACUCCUGAGGGGGCGGUGGUGGGGUCCACUGGAUGGGGUACAGCGGCUGGUGGAGGACCCUGCGGCCGCCGGCGCGGUCGUCCGAGGCGGAGGCGGAGGCGACGGCGGAGCAGAGGAGGAGGGCGAGGACCACCAGUAGCAUCUUCGCGACGAGGACCCGUUUCGCUUCGGGGAUUAAGAGCGACAACGGUGGAAGCUUCUAAAAAUGGCCGCGGGGAUUACUAGUAUAUAUUUGUUAUUAUCCUAAUAUCGUUUUCCUUCCUGUGGUCAAAUAAGAGGGGCGAGCCGAGCUGUUCGUCCGCGCCGUCCGACCGUGGCUCGUCAAUCCUUUCGUCUGGCAGCACGUGGCGCAAGCAUGCGGUCUUCUGCUGUCAGCUUCACCCGACACGCCGAUCCGCUGUAUCAUCGCCCACGCGAAACAAGCGAACAUAGAAUCCCUGGGGACCCGCGCACGUCCUGCCGUUUCCCAUGUGCAGCGC